UACAGAGGGUGCGAGCGUUGUCCGGAAUCACUGGGCGUAAAGGGCGCGUAGGCGGCUCAGUAAGCGUGCCGGUGAAAGCCCGGGGCUCAACCCCGGGUCGGCCGUGCGAACUGCAGAGCUGGAGCACUGUAGAGGCAGGUGGAAUUCCGGGUGUAGCGGUGGAAUGCGUAGAGAUCCGGAAGAACACCGGUGGCGAAGGCGGCCUGCUGGGCAGUGGCUGACGCUGAGGCGCGACAGCGUGGG
rnacentral:rRNA from 1 species